UUACACCCCAUGCUGUUCUCCAAGUUGCC
rnacentral:piRNA from 1 species